rnacentral:hammerhead_ribozyme from 1 species
AUCCAGCUGACCACGAGUCCCAAAUAGGACGAAAUGCGCAUCCUGAUUGGAU